rnacentral:rRNA from 1 species
GACGAACGCUGGCGGCGUGCCUAAUACAUGCAAGUCGAGCGCAGGAAGCCGUCUGAACCCUUCGGGGGGACGACGGUGGAAUGAGCGGCGGACGGGUGAGUAACACGUAAAGAACCUGCCCAUAGGUCUGGGAUAACCACGAGAAAUCGGGGCUAAUACCGGAUGUGUCAUCGGACCGCAUGGUCCGCUGAUGAAAGGCGCUCCGGCGCCGCCCAUGGAUGGCUUUGCGGUGCAUUAGCUAGUUGGUGGGGUAACGGCCCACCAAGGCGACGAUGCAUAGCCGACCUGAGAGGGUGAUCGGCCUCACUGGGACUGAGACACGGCCCAGACUCCUACGGGAGGCAGCAGUAGGGAAUCUUCCACAAUGGACGAAAGUCUGAUGGAGCAACGCCGCGUGAACGAUGAAGGCUUUCGGGUCGUAAAGUUCUGUUGUAAGGGAAGAACAAGUGCCGCAGGCAAUGGCGGCACCUUGACGGUACCUUGCGAGAAAGCCACGGCUAACUACGUGCCAGCCGCCGCGGUAA